UCUCCUGGAAACGGGUGGUAAUGCCGGAUGUUCCCACAUGAGCGCAUGCGAGUGUGGGAAAGGCUUUUUGCGGCAUGGGAUGGGGUCGCGUCCUAUCAGCUUGUUGGUGGGGUAACGGCCUACCAAGGCGUUGACGGGUAGCCGGCCUGAGAGGGCGACCGGCCACAUUGGGACUGAGAUACGGCCCAGACUCCUACGGGAGGCAGCAGUGGGGAAUAUUGCACAAUGGGCGCAAGCCUGAUGCAGCGACGCCGCGUGCGGGAUGGAGGCCUUCGGGUUGUAAACCGCUUUUGUUCAAGGGCAAGGCACGGUUUCGGCCGUGUUGAGUGGAUUGUUCGAAUAAGCACCGGCUAACUACGUGCCAGCAGCCGCGGUAAUACGUAGGGUGCAAGCGUUAUCCGGAUUUAUUGGGCGUAAAGGGCUCGUAGGCGGUUCGUCGCGUCCGGUGUGAAAGUCCAUCGCUUAACGGUGGAUCCGCGCCGGGUACGGGCGGGCUUGAGUGCGGUAGGGGAGACUGGAAUUCCCGGUGUAACGGUGGAAUGUGUAGAUAUCGGGAAGAACACCA
rnacentral:rRNA from 1 species